rnacentral:rRNA from 1 species
UACGGAGGAUCCAAGCGUUAUCCGGAAUCAUUGGGUUUAAAGGGUCCGUAGGCGGUUUGGUAAGUCAGUGGUGAAAGCCCAUCGCUCAACGGUGGAACGGCCAUUGAUACUGCCAGACUUGAAUUAUUAGGAAGUAACUAGAAUAUGUAGUGUAGCGGUGAAAUGCUUAGAGAUUACAUGGAAUACCAAUUGCGAAGGCAGGUUACUACUAAUGGAUUGACGCUGAUGGACGAAAGCGUGGGGAGCAAACAGG